CAUGCCCAACAGAUGUCAUUUUUGAUACCGUGCACGGAAAUGCGGAGCACCGAUAGUAGCUGGGAACCCAGCCAGGCGCAAGAUGACGAGGAAGAGGACGAGGGCACAACCAUGGACAGUGAGCCCGGACCAUCUAUGGGGCCAAUGAGUCCUCCAGGCCCCCCACCCACUCCGAGUUUGGUGAGCCCCAUGCAGACUGUCCCAGCCGUCCCAGAGGCAAGUCGGCAGCCCCGAC